CUGGUUCUUAUCAGUAAAGGGUGGCAGAGGUGACAGCUGAAAGACUGACCUGACUGAGAACAAACCAACACCCAGGGGAGAGUUUUACUACAGGACUGAAGUGUUACCCUACCACAGUGUCCAGUCAUGAAAAGCACUGGAUUUCUGAUUAUAUUCCUUGAAAAACUAAGGAGAGCAGGCCACUUUGCACUCACCAAUUUGGUUCCCUUCAGCAGUCCUAGGCUUCUGAAAAGGUCUCACUUUACAAGACUUUGGAUUUUGGAAGCCCUUAUUAGAUAGCAGUUUCACAGGUGUUUCCUUACUCUACAAUUCUGCAUUUGAAGCCAGAUUGUGGAUUAAAUUGUCACCGGUAGUUUUCCAGACAGCAAAACAGUUCUAAAUAAACCCAAACUUCAAAAAGAAGUUGCCUGUUCUUAACAUUCACGGAAAUAGAACCACGUAUAUGGUCUUUUGUGACUGGCUUCUUUCUCUUAGAUCAUCCAUGUUAUAGCACAUGCCUGUACUUUCUUUUCAUGGCCAAGUAAUGUUCCAUUGAAUAAAUAUGCU
ensembl:lncRNA